GCCAGUGGGGUGUAGUGGCUUGAUGGCUGGACUAUGGCUCUGGAGACCAGGGUUCGAAUCCCUGUUCAGCCA